CACAUCCAGCAGCACUGGUUUUGUUCCUGACAUCUAAACCUUUGCUCCUCCUGAUCUGCAAUAGCAGUCGUGGAUAAAAGAAGUCAAAGUCCUGUCAGCUUUGUCCUCCCCCCAUCCCCUGGGGGGCUGUGGGGGGUGAGACACAUCCGUUAUUACACCAUUUGGUGAUUUCCUCAUCCAGCCCCUUAAUGCUGAGUCUAUGCGUGUAAUCGAACUCGUGACCUUCCAGUAUCAGGCCAGACGCUCUUCCACAGGCCCACGGACCUGCUCCAUUCUGAAAAUAAGAUUCAAACAAAAUGAGUACCAGCAUGUCGGACAGGGGGGCCCGGAGGACGCGGCCCCCAAACUUCCCAUUCGGCUGUUUUCCCUCACGUUCGAAUCAGCUGACACACCGGGGACUCGGCCUGGACUCUGCUCCGCUCCCGUGAGCGCCGAGGCCGUACAGCCCCACAGACGCCUCCGGCGCGUGCGCCCCCAGCGCGCGCGGACACUCCGGCGAGCACCGCAGCGGCUUACCUGAAAGUAGAAGGACCUUUUCACCCAGGCCCGUGGAAGCAGACCCUUCGCCAUUACAGACACGGAUCAUGUCAGGACGCGGACCGGCCUCUCGGAUAUCCCACGAACACGCGCACGCCGCGCGGAUUCCACAUCAGUCGAGCGGAAACGGAGGAAACGUCCACGUGUCGCGGUUUGAGAGCGGGAAGGAGCACAGCGGCUGUUCUGCAGCUGAAGGCUGCGGCAGCUGCGUGUCUGACUGCAGGCGACAUACCUCCGGCUGCAGAGGGGAAAAAAAAGAAAGAAAGAACGGGUUGCGCAUGCGCAGCGGGCUCCCCGACCUGUCAACGGAUUACAUCUCAAUAAAAGUAAAAGAUGAAAGAAGUUAUCAACCAUUUCACAGAGGAUCACAAAUAUAAAAAUGUCUGCUGACGGUU